rnacentral:lncRNA from 1 species
GGCGGAGAAGCAGAGGAGAGGGACGCUGGAAGCACGUUUGGCCCGGGACAGAAAUCUGGAGAGCUUGGCUACCUCCAUCCUCCUCAGGCCGGAGCAGGCUUCCUGAGAGAGUCCAGGUCGUAGGAGUUUUACGACUUAGAAAAGCGGGCUGCAGAUUCCUUCCUGGGUGUUUGGUUCAAGCCUUGGCUCCGGCCUUACUCUCAGUCUUCCCGGGAGUUCGUGGGAUUUGGACCUUAGAUUAUUAGUAUUAUUUUGAGGGCCUCCUGUGUGUAAGCACUGGUUGUGCGCAGAUGGCUGUGCAGAGGGCCAUGAGGUAGAGGCUGGGGAAAUGAGGGCUUGGAGGUGCUUGAGGUAUGGUCUUUACCUACGUGAAAUGUUGGAGGUUGAGAUGAAAACUCUUGCUUUGAAUUCUUCAUGGAGGACAUCAUUUCAAUCCUGAAUCUGGCUCAAUUCUAUUAUUCACUUAUUACUGUAUUAAAAACGUUUAAUUGGCCAGGCACAGUGGUUCACGCCUGUAAUCCCAGCACUUUGGGAGGCCAAGGCAGGCGGAUCACUUGAGGUCAGGAGUUCGACACCAGCCUGGCCAACAUGGCAAAACCCCGCCUCUACUAAAAAUACAAAAAUUAGCCAGGCGUGGUGGCACACACCUGUAAUCACAGCUACUUAGGAGGCGAGGUGGCAGAAUUGUUUGAACCCAGGAGGUGGAGGUUGCAGUGAGCCGAGAUCACACCACUGCACUCAAGCCUUGGCAUCAGAGUGAGACUCUGUCUCAGUAAAAAAAAAUAAAUAAAUAAAAAUGUUUAAUUAACCAUGAUAUUUGCUUUGGUAAAACCUUUGAGGUUUAACGAGAAUUUUAAAAUUCAUUAUACUUUUCUUAUGGCAUAUAAAAGUUUUAAUAUUUUUUUAUUGUCUCAACUAACAUCAUAAAUGUCUUAAUGUUAAAAUCCAUGGGAUAUUCUAUUUAAAAUUUUAGCUUUAUCACCUUUGUGCUAUCAGAGAAUGUGCUUUGAACUGGUAAAAUGAGUUAAAGUAUUGGAAAACACUUAUGUCAGCAGAGGCUCUUAAAAAUCAUUUUCAUCCUUCCUCUUCUAGUGAUGAUUUUUUUUUAACCCAUGUUUUCACCAGUCUGCCAAUCCAAUGGCAUAAAUGCUCCUACACAGGCAACUUAAGUGUUUCUUAAGUUGAUGCAAGGUAUUUUGCAUGAGGCUGAAUUCUUGUUGUUGGAGCAGAGGAUUUUUGUUCCAACUACUGAAUUGGCAAAAUGUUAAUAUAAAAACACCUCAAAAAGUCAAA